GGCAAAAAACUUUACUGCCUAUGUAUGC
rnacentral:piRNA from 1 species